UGUGAGCGCAUUGCUUGUGCUGGAGAUGGUCUCACCGACAGACUCCCUGGAUGUCCGUCAAGCACCCAGAGCGCUGACAGGCCCUGAGCCCCGCCUGGGGGUGUCGCUUGGCUGAGCCCUGACAGGAGGGGUAGGAUGUGAUCAGGCCAGUUGCUGGAGGACUCGCAUUUGAAGCAGAGGAGAAAGAGAAAGCAAGUUCCCCGGGUCAGCACAGGGCUGUGAGUGGGGGCUGGCGAGCUGGCUGCGGCUGCCAAGUCAAGGUGGGCGGCCAGACUUCCUCCUAAGGAAGGGCUCGCAUCGGAUGGCGCCAAGACCACGGGUGUGUUUCAGGGUGUUCAGUGAAGAUGUGAUUAGCAAACUCUGGAGGCUCAGAGGCGGCAGGAAAAGCCAGGGCUCAGGGCCCCACAGAGCUUAAGGGAAGUAGCAGACUCAGGGUCUACUGAGGGUGGACUGGUGGACCCCAGAGAACCUUCCAGGGGGUGCGAGUCCCUUCCAUUCCUGGGACCAUGCUGUCACAAGUCCAGCAGGUUUCCAUCUUGGUCGCCGUUAGGCGCGUGCGUGGGAGUGGCAGGUCUUAGUUGCGGCAUGCGGGAUCUAGUUCCCUGACCAGGGAUGGAACCCAGACGCCCUGCAUCGGGAGUGCAGAGUCUCGGCCACUGGACCCCCAGGGAAGUCCCUCCUGUGUCUUUCCUGCACUCCACAAUGCACCUCGCACUCACAGGUCUGCAGUGUCUGCUGACUGACUCCACGACUGGCGGCCCGGGGCGCAAUGCAGAGAGGUCCCAGGUGACUCACUGCCUUGGUUGGAAGCCUUGCAGUUUCCCCUGCCUUGGUGCUGCCGCUCCGCCGCCAUCACUGCGGCCCUGCUGGAUGCCUGGCUGCUCCUGCUCUGACUGCAGACUUUCUGGCCACCCCUGCUUCUCCGGGCUGGAAGAGAGGAUUUCCCUGCUGAGUGAUCAUCGUUCCGUUCGAAACUCAUCGAAGUAGCCGUGUCCUUUCAGAGUCAGACCCGUUUUCUCUCCAGGAAGUUGGGGCAAGUUCUCCAGGAAGCAGGACUGAUGAUGCCACCCCUGGCUGCAGGCUGCUCUCCUAGAGGGUGUGCCCGUCGACCAUCUGCCACCUGAGCACCAGGCCUCCCUCCCAGAGCUGGCAUGGGGCUUGGAUCUGGCAUGCGGACCCCUGAUCCCUCCUCCAGCAGGGCAGGUGGGCCUCCUCGCCUGCCUUCUGGCACUCCUGCUCUCUCCCUGCUGUCCCUUUCCCAGGUUACCCGCUGCUUGCCCCGCGGCUCUGACAUUAUGCCUCUGUGACCCUCGCAUCUGGGUCAAGUGCCCUUUCUCUGCACUGUGAGGGCCUGAAGAGAACAGGGCUGUGCCCUGCUCAUUCUUGUUCAUUCUUACAUCCCAGUGUCACCUGGCACGUUGAAGGGACUUGAUGAAAACUGUAGAGACUGAC
ensembl:lncRNA